rnacentral:sRNA from 1 species
ACACGCGCAAACAUGGGUGGAUUAAAUGGAUUAUCAUAUUUUUUAGUAGUCAAUUGUAAUCUUGAAAAGUUUGGAUGGAUUGACAAUAACAAUUGAUGGUUUUGUCUAUUUUGACGUACAACCAUUAGUAUCGUGUCAUUAUCAGGUU